rnacentral:rRNA from 1 species
ACUCAAAUGAAUUGACGGGGACCCGCACAAGCGGUGGAGCAUGUGCAUUAAUACGUCACUAACCGUAGAACCUUACCAGGGUUUGACAUCCCCGGCCCGCCUGUGAAAGCAGGUUUCUCUAGCAAUAGAGCCGGGAGACAGGUGUUGCAUGGCUGUCGUCAGCUCGUGUCGUGAGAUGUUGGGUUAAGUCCCGCAACGAGCGCAACCCUCACUCGAUGUUGCCAGCGUAAAGUCGGGAACUCUUCGAGAACUGCCCGUGUAAGCGGGAGGAAGGUGGGGAUGACGUCAAGUCAGCAUGGCCCUUACAUCCUGGGCUUGACACAUGCUACAAUGGCCGUUAAACAAAGGGACGCAAUACCGCGAGGUGGAGCCAAUCUCAGAAAUACGGUCUCAGUUCGGAUUGCAGGCUGCAACUCGCCUGCAUGAAGUCGGAAUCGCUAGUAACCGCCGGUCAGCUAAACGGCGGUGAAUACGUUCCCGGGUCUUGUACACACCGCCCGU